GCUGAAAGCAUCUAAGCGUGAAACCAACCACAAGAUGAGACUUCUCAUUCGAAAGAAGUAAGAGCCCUCCAAAGUUAGGAGGUUGAUAGGUCAGAAGUGUAAGCACAGUAAUGUGUUCAGCUGACUGAUACUAAUAGCUCGAGGACUUAAUUUCACU
rnacentral:rRNA from 1 species